UACGAAGGGGGCUAGCGUUGCUCGGAAUUACUGGGCGUAAAGGGCGCGUAGGCGGAUAGUUUAGUCAGAGGUGAAAGCCCAGGGCUCAACCUUGGAAUUGCCUUUGAUACUGGCUAUCUUGAGUUCGGGAGAGGUGAGUGGAAUGCCGAGUGUAGAGGUGAAAUUCGUAGAUAUUCGGCGGAACACCAGUGGCGAAGGCGACUCACUGGCCCGAUACUGACGCUGAGGCACGAAAGCCAGGGGAGCAAACGGG
rnacentral:rRNA from 1 species